rnacentral:tRNA from 1 species
GCGGACAUAGCUCAGUCGGUAGAGCAUUAGCUUCCCAAGCUAAGGGUCGCGGGUUCGAAUCCCGUUGUCCGCUCCA